rnacentral:rRNA from 1 species
CUACGGGUGGCACCAGUGAGGAAUAUUGCACAAUGGGGGAAACCCUGAUGCAGCAACGCCGCGUGGAGGAUGACGCAUUUCGGUGUGUAAACUCCUUUUAUGAGUCAAGAAAAUGACGGUAGCUCAUGAAUAAGCACCGGCUAACUCCGUGCCAGCAGCCGCGGUAAUACGGAGGGUGCAAGCGUUACUCGGAAUCACUGGGCGUAAAGGACGCGUAGGCGGGCUUGUAAGUCAGGUGUGAAAUCCUACAGCUUAACUGUAGAACUGCACUUGAAACUACGAGCCUAGAGUAUGGGAGGGGCAGAUGGAAUUAGUGGUGUAGGGGUAAAAUCCGUAGAUAUCACUAGGAGUACCGAAAGCGAAGGCGAUCUGCUGGAACAUUACUGACGCUAAGGCGUGAAAGCGUGGGGAGCAAACGGGAUUAGAUACCCCAGUAGUC